UAUUCCACCACAGCUUUCAACCAGGCAACACUUUGCUCGCCUUGCCGCUGCCACAGUAAAACUUCCCGUUUGUUGUUUUGCAGCCGCACGCUGAGCUGGCCUGUGUUUGAUCCAAACAUGUUGUAGAAGAAACCCAAACACUGUACGUCCUUUGAACCUCUGACAGGAGGAGACAGCAGGCGGACGUUCUGACCGGGCAACAUCGGGGACGCUUCCAUGUGCAGAUAAUAACCUGUCAAUCAAAUCAUGGCAUGGACAACCUCCAUCUCAAAAACAUUCCUGACCUGAGCAGGUUGUGAUGUCUGGAAGGUCACAUCUGUUGCUAUCCAUAUUCCCCUGGACCUCUCCCCCAGUGUCCAGAUCUUUUCCAAGCUGCUGCCCUGCUGCAGAUACACGACCAGGGCCACGCCCGAGUGGUUGAUACCUGCAGUAAUUCUUGGCUGGUAGGCGAAUGACCUAUUAUUAUAUAGGACAGGCUGUGAGGAACUCGCAUGGCUGCGGUAGUUGUGACCCCAAGAUGCAGGAAACAGGAGAACGACGUGCAGGUCGUUGUCAAGCAGCUGGCCGCCGCCAGCACUUCCCACGUACCAAUUCACGUUGGCGUUCCAUUGGUUAUUGUAGCCGCACAGGAUCCAACAGUAAAGUCCAUAGGAGCCCAUCAACAUUCAGCGCCGGGAGGUGGCAGUAGUGGGGCAGUACAAGUACCUGGGAGUCCACUUGAACAGCCGACUGGACUGGAAGGACAACAGCAAAGCUGUAUACAAGAAGGGCAUGAGCAGACUCUUUUUCCUGAGGAAGCUUAGGUCCUUUAAUGUGUGCAGCAAGCUUUUGGAGAUCUUUUUUCAGUCUGUUGUGGCCAGUGUCCUGUACUUUGCAGUAGUUUGUUGGGGGAGCAGCACCAGCAUAAGGGACUUAAACCAGAUUGACAAACUGAUCCGGAAAGCCGGCCAAAAUACUGGCACACAGUUGGAGGCUUUUGUGUCAGUGAGGUACAGGAGGAGACUGGACAAACUGUUCGCCAUCAUGGAUACUCCUGCUCACCCACUCCACCAGACAAUUGAGGGUCAGCGGAGCUCAUACUCCCCUUCAGCUUCGUUCCCACAGUGUUCGAUUCAAGAACUCCUUCAUUCCGCACUCCAUCCAGCUGUAUAAUCACUCGCCAUAUAGCAGUAGAUGAUAUCUGACUAUUGCAUGACCGCUAUCCUUUGUAACUGAGCUACUGUGUGGAACAAUUUCCCUUGUGGAUCAAUAAAGUUUGUCU